UACCGAGGGGGCAAGCGUUAUUCGGAAUUAUUGGGCGUAAAGGGCGCGUAGGCGGCCUGGCAAGUGGAAGGUGAAAUCCCUCGGCUUAACCGAGGAACUGCCUUCCAAACUGCUUGGCUUGAGUCCGGGAGAGGUGAGUGGAAUUCCCAGUGUAGCGGUGAAAUGCGUAGAUAUUGGGAGGAACACCAGUGGCGAAGGCGGCUCACUGGACCGGAACUGACGCUGAUGCGCGAAAGCGUGGGGAGCAAACGGG
rnacentral:rRNA from 1 species